GCAGCACGGAUCAUUCAGUGGCGAGUGGCGAACGGGUGAGUAAUGUAUCGGAACGUGCCUAGUAGCGGGGGAUAACUACGCGAAAGCAAAGCAUACUGCAUACGAAUUCUUCGGGGAAAGCGGGGACCUUCGGGCCUCGCACUAGGAGCGGCCGAUAUCGGAUUAGCUAGUUGCGGGGUAACGGCUCACCAAGGCGACGAUCCGUAGCUGGUUUGAGAGGACGACCAGCCACACUGGGGACCGAGACACGGCCCAGACUCCUACGGGAGGCAGCAGUGGGGAAUUUCGGACAAUGGGGAAACCCUGAUCCAGCCAUCCCGCGUGAUGAAGGCCUUCGGGUUGUAAAGCACUUUUGGCAGGAAAGAAACGGCACGGGAUAAUACCCGUGCAACUGACGGUACCUGCAGAAUAAGCACCGGCUAACUACGUGCCAGCAGCCGCGGUAAUACGUAGGGUGCAAGCGUUAAUCGGAAUUACUGGGCGUAAGCGUGCGCAGGCGGCUCUGAAAGAAAGAUGUGAAAUCCCAGAGCUUAACUGGAACUGCAUGAAUCACCGAGCUAGAGUGUGUGUCAGGAGGGAGGUGGAAUUCCGCGUAGCAGUGAAAUGCGUAGGAGAACACCGAUGGCGAAGGCAGCCUCCUGGAUAACACUGGACGUCAUGCACGAAAGCGUGGGGAGCAAACAGGAUUAGGAUACCCCAGUAGUCCACGCCCUAAACGAUGUCAACUAUUGCUGGGGCCUUCGGCCUCGGCAGCGCAGCUAACGCGUGAAGUUGACCGCCCGGGGAGUACGGUCGCAAGAUUAAAACUCAAAGGAAUUGACGGGACCCGCACAAGCGGUGGAUGAUGUGGAUUAAUUCGAUGCAACGCGAAAACCUUACCUACCCUUGACAUGUCUGAAUCCCGAAGAGAUUUGGGGAGUGCUGCAAGAGAACCGAACACAGGUGCUGCAUGGCUGUCGUCAGCUCGUGUCGUGAGACGUUGGGUUAAGUCCUCAACGAGCGCAACCCUUAAGUCAUUAGUUGCUACGAAAGGGCACUCUAAUGAGACUGCCGGUGACAAACCGGAGGAAGGUGGGGAUGACGUCGUAAGUCCUCAUGGCCCUUAUGAGCAGGGCUUCACACGUCAUACAAUGGCCGCGGCGGUCGCCAACCCGGGCGAGGGGAGCUAAUCCCAGAACCCGAUCGUAGUCCGGAUCGCAGUCUGCAACUCGACUGCGUGAAGUCGGAAUCGCUAGUAAUCGCGGAUCAGCAUGUCGCGGUGAAUACGUUCCCCGGUUCUGUACACACCGCCCGUCACAUCACAUGGGGAGUGGGUUUUACCAGAAGUAGUUAGCCUAACCGUAAGGAGGGCGAUUACCACGGUAGGAUUCAUGACUGGGGUGAAGUUUAAUAAGGUAA
rnacentral:rRNA from 1 species